AGAAUCAACGCUGGCGGCGUGCCUAACACAUGCAAGUCGCACGAGAAAGGGGCUUCGGCUCUGAGUAAAGUGGCGCACGGGUGAGUAACACGUGACUAAUCUACCCUCGAGUGGGGAAUAACCUAGAGAAAUCUGGGCUAAUACCGCAUAACACUUACGAGUCAAAGCAGCAAUGCGCUUGGGGAGGAGGUCGCGGCCGAUUAGCUAGUUGGCGGGUAAUGGCCCACAGGCGAUGAUCGGUA
rnacentral:rRNA from 1 species